GUCAGAGGGUGCAAACGUUGUUCGGAAUUACUGGGCGUAAAGCGAGUGUAGGCGGUUUGGAAAGUCGGAUGUGAAAGCCCCGGGCUCAACCCGGGAAGUGCACUCGAUACUCCCAAGCUAGAGUAUCGGAGAGGUUGGCGGAAUUCUCGGUGUAGAGGUGAAAUUCGUAGAUAUCGAGAGGAACACCGGCGGCGAAGGCGGCCAACUGGACGAAUACUGACGCUGAGACUCGAAAGCGUGGGGAGCAAACAGG
rnacentral:rRNA from 1 species